GGGUGAUAACGCGUGAGAAUCUGGCUCUAGGUCUGGGACAACCAUUGGAAACGGUGGCUAAUACCGGAUGUGCAGAGAUGUGAAAGGCUUGCUGCCUAGAGAUGAGCUCGCGUCUGAUUAGCUAGUUGGUAGUGUAAGAGACUACCAAGGCGACGAUCAGUAGCUGGUCUGAGAGGAUGAUCAGCCACACUGGGACUGAGACACGGCCCAGACUCCUACGGGAGGCAGCAGUGGGGAAUUUUCCGCAAUGGGCGAAAGCCUGACGGAGCAAUACCGCGUGAGGGAGGAAGGCUCUUGGGUUGUAAACCUCUUUUCUCAGGGAAUAAGAAAGUGAAGGUACUUGAGGAAUAAGCAUCGGCUAACUCCGUGCCAGCAGCCGCGGUAAUACGGAGGAUGCAAGCGUUAUCCGGAAUGAUUGGGCGUAAAGCGUCCGCAGGUGGCAUUGUGUGUCUGCUGUUAAAGAGUGAGGCUUAACCUCAUAAAAGCAGUGGAAACUACAAAGCUAGAGUGCGUUCGGGGCAGAAGGAAUUCCUGGUGUAGCGGUGAAAUGCGUAGAGAUCAGGAAGAACACCGGUGGCGAAGGCGUUCUGCUAGGCCGCAACUGACCCU
rnacentral:rRNA from 1 species